rnacentral:lncRNA from 12 species
AUGAUUCAUAUCCCCAGAUAUUCUCUGGCAUUCUCACUAUAUAGUUUCCUUUUUUUUUUUUUUUUUUUUUGUACUGUAUUGCUUUUUUUUUUUUUUUUCCCCCAGAAAGAGAAAAUCUUACUGGAGAAAACCAUGCCAAGCCUGAGAACAUUGAGUACCCAAGGCCAAGCUCAACAAGGGCAGAGAACUUUCCGGCAAGAAAUUAUCCCAUCUGUAACAAGGCCAGUCUCAUGGUCUACAGCUCACAAUUGGCAAGAAGAUAAUUAUCAAGAAGAUCGAGAUCCCAAAAAGCUAAGGAGCUACUGUCCUGGAAGGGAAGAAAACCCACUCCUGGCUUCAAAAGACAGCCAUUGGCUCUAUAACCCUGGCCAGAGUCCAGGUAGGAGGUCUCCCAUGUUCCCCACUCUGGGGCUCCAACAUCAAUGUGUCUCUACCUCUGAAUCUCUUUCUUCUUGCUCCUAAGUUACUCUUUCCUUAUAUCUUCACUUUGAAUUCCUGAUAAGGGAUAUUUGAUCAGCCCUAUAAGUCCCCAUAAUUUCUAAUGGGGCAGAGCCUUCUUGCCAGGACACCCCGAAGGUUUUGGGCUCCCCGUUGACUGUUUUUGGGUCAAGCAACAAUCCAGCUUUAAUCAGGAUGAGGGGAGGUGUCACUGGGAACAGAUCAUGGCCACUGCUCUAUAAGGCCUUGUCUUGGAAUCUUCCUGGGAGAGACUGUAGGUGAGGAUGUUUCCUGAGAAGUUAGUCUCCACUCUCAAGUAUGGUUGGAUGGAUUUAGGGAAAUAAAUUGGACCAAGCUAUCUGCUAACUUACCA